GGAAGGAUGACAGAGUGGUCGAAUGUGGCGGUCUCGAAAACCGUUGUGCGGGCAACCGCACCGUGGGUUCGAAUCCCACUCCUUCCGCCA
rnacentral:tRNA from 1 species